CGUACCUCUGCACACUUUUUGCAGCGCCACUAAAUACGUUCUAGCAGGUACAUAUUUCUACAGUUUUACGACACGAAAGUCCACUGGGGGCGCUAAAGAGAAGACCUCUGUGUGACACAUCGAUGACGGUCGACUCCACAUACAACACGAUUGAGCGUCAGAGAGAUGCCGGGAAACACACAGAAAUUGUGCCCCGGGUGCAACACCCUGAUAAGUGUUGCAUUCAAGACAUGCCCACUUUGCAAACAACUCCAGCCGUACAAAACAAAAGUUGCAAAAAAGAGAUGCAACUUUCAAAAUAAGAAGGCUGAAUGGAAGAAGUCAAUCGAAAAAAACAACAACAGGACAGUUGUACUUAAUAGCUGCCAUGUAAUGCUUGACAAACUUGCUGCCCUUGAUUUCUUCCCCAUACUACUUUUGGGAAAGAAAUUAAAGGGAAAGUUGGUGGCCGAUGCCAUCCUUGGAGGGGAUUACGUUUUGGAUCCCGAUUUGUUUCAGAGGGUUAAAUUGAUGUAUGAAGCAGUGCUAAAGAUUCAUUGUCAAAGACAGAAGAAGGCCACAAGUAGCACAGAAACUACUGACCCUCCAGAAGCUACUUCCACCAGCCCUCCAGAAGCCACUGCCACCAGCCCCCCAGAAGCUACCGGUAUUGAUAUCACAGGCUCAUCAGAAGCCACAAGACCCCAGGCCCAGAAGGCCAAAAAUAGACCAAGAAAUGAAGUACACUAUCCAGUCCAACAGAUGGAAGCCAGCAAGAAAAAGAAAAAGUGUUAAGUACAUUUUCUGUAUAUACAUUUGCAUCAGUAGCUUUCCUGUAGCCCAUUGGUAAGAGCUUUGCAUUAACAGCUUUGGAUAAAAGCGUCUUCCAAAUGAAUAAAUGUAAAUGUACAUUAAUAUGAUUUAUUAACUACUCUUUGAUUCUGCAGUCGCUGUUUGGUUUUAUUUGUAGCAAUAUACUUAUUUCAAAAUAAUAUUGCCUAUCUUUCAGAUGAGUGUCCAGAAUGCUGUAGGAGAGUGAGCCAAAACAACUUUGAUUACUCCAAGGUUUUGAAAAAAAGAGUGAGAGAGGGAACAGAGGAGGUCCUCAUUCGUUGGGUUCCAUGCAAGACCUGUGGGACCAAAUGGAAGGACUCAUGGGAGCCUUCUUCUUUUCUUGAAGAAUGAAUUAGAAAUAUGUAAAUUAAUUUAAAAAUGGGGCUUGUUGUUCAUUGCCUAAAAUGUAUAUUCCUUCAGGAAUAACCUAAUAAAAAUCAGUUUUGUAUGCAUCAUUAUUGGACAUGGUAUGUCACUUACAGUAUGUCUUGAAAAUUUAAUGGUGCAUGUGUUGCCUUUUAAACUUCCAAAAUGUUGCUGUUCAAUAUGAAAUUGAGUCCAUGUGCAAGAGCAAUUUAGCUGUCCUGCCUGCACCCCAGCAAUGCUUACAUAUUGGUUGAAGGAAACAUUACUGUUUAAAGUGUAUUGCAAGGUAUUCUAGAAUCUACACAUUCACACAUGAAUGGCAAAAUACACAACUAUGUAUUGUACACCAAGUUACCUUUAUCCGUGUCAAAUCUUAAAUGUUAGUUCCAUUUGUUCUUGUUUUUUUUAGAUCUGAAAGUGGUCGGGAUGUGAAUACAUUUCAGAAUGUAUAGUUAUUUGAACACAAAUUAUUCUUUCCUUUUUCAUAUACCUAUUUGAUACAAUUCUUACAUCAUGACAUAAUGAUCAUUUGUCAGUUACGAUUUUUCGACAAUGUAGGUUAUUGGAAUAUGCAUUUGUGUUGGGGCUUGGUUGGCAGCCAGAGAGAAUUCCCACAAAUCCUGCAAGAAGGUUUAUGAGGAGCAACUGGAGUUGGCUGUCUGCAGGCACGUUGAGCAGAGAACAUCACAAUGCUGCUGGUUCCAUCUUAGGGCAGGAAGUGGAGAAGUAGUUGACUUCUAAAGCUAUAUAGAUCCCCCUUGGGACCUGGAAACCCUGAAUGCUCACCUUCACCUGGAAAUGAGAGCAUGGGCAGAUGGUUUGGGUGACUUGACAAAGGAUAUGCAGUCAACUGUCUUCUCAAUCGGUGGUACCACUCACUCAGUAGUCAACACAAACAGGCUGUAAAUGCAUACAGCAGUAUAGCCGUUAUGGAGGACAUUGAGGACAACUCUCCGGUGCUGAAGAUGUGCACAAAAAAGACUUUCCUUUCUAUUAAACAGCCCUUUUUUUGAGGUGAUUUACUCUAGAUAGGGCUCAUUACAAACCCAACUGUUUGAAAAUAGUGCACUUUGAUUUUUUAUUUUUGAACUAAAUCUACUAAGUGUUGUCACACAUAGCUUACAGAUAAUCAAGGCCAAAGGUCCAGCACAUAUAGAAUGGCAAUUCUAAGCUAUUAUUAAGAUAAACUCAAAAAUUGAAGAAGGAAUUUGCAAAUACUAAUAUUGGACUAUUAUUAUUAAUUUGGUUCAGCUUUUUUGUGACAACAAAGCUGUAGUUUCUCCAGACUGGCGUCACUACAUAGCAAGUUAAUCAUGCUAAUUUCUUAAAUAAUCCUAUUACAAAGCAUAAUUUGUUUUUCACACGCUUAAAUUGUACAGAUUUUAAGGGAAAAUAUUUUGUGUAUUAUUGUGUGUGUGUGUGUAUGUAUCUAAGCUAUGAUUGCAAUAGAAUGUGGAAAUGUCUUCAUUUGUCUUGAUGCAUACAUGCUGUUUGUCGUUUAAGCAUACUUGUUGAUGAACCCCAUCAAAUGGAAUUUAAAUCAUAGAUGUAUUUCUAUAAUGAUUUCCAUAUCGCAUCAUCCAAGUGUACAUCAAUAUAGACAUAAAUCAAAUCCACUUUCACUGACAUUCUGUAAAACUGUACAGAGAAAUGUAUUAAUUUGUCUUUAUGCAUAUGUUCACUGCUGUAAUAAACACAAUAAUAAUGG